rnacentral:rRNA from 1 species
GGACCGGUGGGUUGGUCGUGCCUCCGGUACGUACUGGUCUUACUGGUUCCUCCCUUCUGAAGAACCACGAUGUCAUUAAUUUGGUGUCUUGGGGAAUCAGGACUGUUACUUUGAAAAAAUUAGAGUGUUUAAAGCAGGCUCACGCUUGAAUACAUUAGCAUGGAAUAAUGAAAUAGGACGUUUGAUUCUAUUUUGUUGGUUUCUAGGAUCGACGUA